rnacentral:rRNA from 1 species
UACGAAGGGGCUAGCGUUGUUCGGAUUUACUGGGCGUAAAGCGCACGUAGGCGGAUCGUUAAGUCGGGGUGAAAUCCUGGAGCUCAACUCCAGAACUGCCUUUGAUACUGAGGAUCUUGAGUUCGGGAGAGGUGAGUGGAACUGCGAGUGUAGAGGUGAAAUUCGUAGAUAUUCGCAAGAACACCAGUGGCGAAGGCGGCUCACUGGCCCGAUACUGACGCUGAGGCACGAAAGCGUGGGGAGCAAACAGG